UGGGACGUCGCCAAGUUGGUAAGGCACCAGAAUUUGGAUCUGGCAUCCGGAGGUUCGAGUCCUCCCGUCCCAG
rnacentral:tRNA from 1 species